ensembl:lncRNA
AUGCUGAGGGGACUUCAAGCUUGGAGGCUCCCCCGCUGGAGCCUCCAGAGGGCAGCUGGUGCAUGGACGGCAGCUCAGAGGAGGCCCGGAUCUCCGCGUCUGGGGCAGAGCCCCCGGGACGCACAGCCCCGUCCCCGCGAUUCGUCCCUGGAGCGCAGGCCCCACAAAGAGGCCACGUCCUGCCCCCAGGACCCGGGCACAGGUGACCGAGGAAGGACCCUGGCACACGUGGUUCAGGGGCUGUGGUGGGGAGAGGCCUGCGAGCGGGAGCGCGAGGGUCAGGGCGAGGAAGGAGUACGGGGCCACAGCUCAGCCUGGACCGGGGCAAGGGCGGCCUCCUCGGAAGGCUGGCCACGCCGUCCAGACGCAGGGAGUCAGACCUGCACUGCUUCUGAGCCGCCAAGCUGCAUGGAGUUUGUCCCAGCGGCCACAGGAAACCCAGAGAGCAGCCUUGAGCCAAAGGCCCCAGGCGCAGAGGCCGGCACGGUAGGGGACACUUCUGCCUCCCAGGGGCGAGCAGGGCCAGGCAGCCCCGGCUUCCCCGCCGCGCGAAAGCCAGGAGCCCAGCGGCAAUGGCUCAAGUCCACCUGCUCACGGCCUCAGCUCCGCGCUGACCUCAUGGCUCUCUCUCGGCAGACACCAGACGUGCUGGAAUGUGCUGUCUCAGCCAGGGCCAAGCCGCCCAUCGCCCGAGGCAUCCUGGCGGGAACCUGGCGGCCGGAGCCCUGGGACGUGGGAGGGGCCGGGGAGAAUCUGCCUGGGACCAGCCCCUGGCAACCACCCUGCAUUUGGUGGGAGCCCACGCAGCGCUUCCCGAGGGCACCACCCUGGGAGCCACCAGCAGCCACCACCACAGGGCUGCCUCCUUCUUGGAGAGGAGCAGAGCCUGUCUGGGAUCUGACAGCUGCUGGCACGCGGACUUCCUGGGGCUGUGAGCUGCAGGGAAAGCCCCCACCCCCACCCGUGCACACCCAGCCAACUUCCUGGCAGAGGCCGCCAGACCCGGCCCACUCCCGGCCGCAGGGAACCUCACAGCUCAGCAGCAGAGAUGGCAAACAGAAGCCGCCUGCGCCGAUGCCGCAGCUCACUAGGCUAAUCCUCCGCCUCGCAGCGCCGUCACACCAGGUUCUAGUCCCGGUCGGGGCACCGGAUUCUGUCCUGGUUGCCCCUCUUCCAGGCCAGCUCUCUGCUGUGGCCAGGGAGUGCAGUGGAGGAUGGCCCAAGUGCUUGGGCCCUGAACCCCAUGGGAGACCAGGAGAAGCACCUGGCUCCUGCCAUCGGAUCAGCGCGGUGCGCCGGCCGCAGUGCGCCGGCCGCAGCAGCCAUUGGAGGGUGAACCAACAGCAAAGGAAGACCUUUCUGUCUGUCUCUCUUUCACUGUCCACUCUGCCUGUCAAAAAAAAGAAGAAGAAGAAGAAGCCGCCGGCAGCACAGCCCUGCGGGACCUCGCACGGCUGCAGCCCCCACAGCCAGGCCCCGGGCAUCCACAGCCUCGCCCCCCCUAGGACACCAGGCCUGUCCCCAGACCCAGCUCUGCUGCUCCCAGGGGGCGGGCUCCACUCACUGGGCCGCCCCAAGCCUGUUUCCCUGCCUGUAAAAGGAGACCAGGUGGGCGACAAACUCCGCCCACUCACAGCAGCGACAGGACUCACGUGGGGCAGGCAGGCGGCCUGA